UUUUUUUUUUAGGCGAAGUAUUUCUUGACUGCAUCAGAAUUCACAGGACGAGUGAACUUCUUCAUCCAUUGUAGUAAGUGUCAGAACACUGCCUGAAGAGGCUCUCUUGACAACAUAUGGACAUUCAUAGCUUGGGGGUUCACUUGCCCCUGGAAUCGGGCACGAAAGACAGGACUUUCUUGAGCAUGAGGUCACCUUCUCGGAACACACGAGGCUUGACCUUCUUAUCGAAUGCUUUCUUCAUUCUCUGCUGAUAUAACUGACCAUGACACAUGGCAGUUGAUCUCUUCUUUUCGAUCGAAUUCAGCAUCAGUCAACUUGGGACUUUGAGGGUGCUAUCUUCUUUUGUUUUCUUUUGAUUUUGCUUUUGAUUUCUUUUGAUUUUGAUUUGAUUUUUUUUUUUUGCACCCUCUUCUUUUUUGUUUUUUUUUUGUUUUUUUUAAUGCCCCAGUUGGCUGUUCUGCUGAUUCUCGAGAUGCAGCUGAGUAAUCUUCUUUUUUUGCUCAAGAAGUCGGGAAAUACCGUCAGGAAUCCCUUCAACAUCAUCUUCUUCCGCUUCGAAUACAGGGAAUUCAA
rnacentral:lncRNA from 1 species